rnacentral:rRNA from 1 species
AUUGAACGCUGGCGGCAGGCUUAACACAUGCAAGUCGAGCGGGGUGAUGGUGCUUGCACUAUCACUUAGCGGCGGACGGGUGAGUAAUGCUUAGGAAUCUGCCUAUUAGUGGGGGACAACACCUCGAAAGGGAUGCUAAUACCGCAUACGUCCUACGGGAGAAAGCAGGGGAUCACUUGUGACCUUGCGCUAAUAGAUGAGCCUAAGUCGGAGUAGCUAGAUGGUGGGGUAAAGGCCUACCAAGGCGACGAUCUGUAGCGGGUCUGAGAGGAUGUACAGCCACAAUGGGAUUGAGACGCGGCCCAGACUCCUACGGGAGGCAGCAGUGGGGAAUAUUGGACAAUGGGGGGAACCCUGAGCCAGCCAUGCCGCGUGUGUGAAGAAGGCCUUAUGGUUGUAAAGCACUUUAAGCGAGGAGGAGGCUCUUUUGGUUAAUACCCAAGAUGAGUGGACGUUACUCGCAGAAUAAGCACCGGCUAACUCUGUGCCAGCAGCCGCCGUAA